rnacentral:rRNA from 1 species
UGGGGAAUUUUGGACAAUGGGCGAAAGCCUGAUCCAGCAAUGCCGCGUGUGUGAAGAAGGCCUUCGGGUUGUAAAGCACUUUUGUCCGGAAAGAAAUCCUCUGGGUUAAUACCUCGGGGGGAUGACGGUACCGGAAGAAUAAGCACCGGCUAACUACGUGCCAGCAGCCGCGGUAAUACGUAGGGUGCAAGCGUUAAUCGGAAUUACUGGGCGUAAAGCGUGCGCAGGCGGCUUUGUAAGACGGAUGUGAAAUCCCCGGGCUUAACCUGGGAACUGCAUUCGUGACUGCAAGGCUAGAGUAUGGCAGAGGGGGGUAGAAUUCCACGUGUAGCAGUGAAAUGCGUAGAGAUGUGGAGGAAUACCGAUGGCGAAGGCAGCCCCCUGGGCCAAUACUGACGCUCAUGCACGAAAGCGUGGGGAGCAAACAGGAUUAGAUACCCUGGUAGUCCACGCCCUAAACGAUGUCAACUAGUUGUUGGGGAUUCAUUUCCUUAGUAACGUAGCUAACGCGUGAAGUUGACCGCCUGGGGAGUACGGUCG